AGCACAGGUCGUGGAUCUAGGCAAAAAGGGGGAAAAAAUCGUCAAAGGAAUAAACUCGGCAAAGGACAUGUGUGCCCGGGAGGAAAAGAAGGCUUAGCUUAACGUCAAAAAUCUAAUAACACCGUUGAUAAUGAACAUCAAGACCGUGUUGUAUCGAUUCUCGAAUCACUGGUGAACUCAGGCGAAGCGUCACGCUUGCUCGUGACUCUGACACAGCACAUUAAUCUUCAGUUUCAACCUUAGGGUUCCUCUGUUCUUCUCGCCAAAAUCUUAGGGCUCACAAUUCAUACAUUUCCAAGCUUAUGGCGAAAACUAGACCGGGAAGAAAGGACUUGGACUCCUAUACCAUUAGAGGUACCAACAAGAUCGUCAGAGCUGGAGACUGUGUACUGAUGCGACCUUCCGACACCAGCAAGCCUCCGUACGUGGCUCGCGUGGAGAAGAUCGAACAAGAUAAUAGGAGCAACGUUAAAGUUCGGGUGAGAUGGUAUUAUCGGCCGGAAGAAUCGAUUGGAGGACGCAGGCAAUUCCAUGGAGCGAAAGAGCUGUUCUUGUCGGACCAUUAUGACAUCCAAAGUGCCCACACCAUUGAAGGGAAGUGUAUUGUUCACUCUUUCAAGAACUACACUAAACUUGAGAAUGUAGGAGCUGAAGAUUACUACUGUAGAUUUGAAUACAAGGCUGCUACUGGGGCUUUCACCCCAGACCGUGUUGCUGUGUAUUGCAAAUGCGAGAUGCCUUAUAACCCGGACGACCUCAUGGUGCAGUGUGAGGGGUGCAAGGAUUGGUUUCUUGUAGGUAUCAUCCUGCUUGUGUGGGCAUGACUAUUGAAGAAGCCAAAAAACUGGACCAUUUUGUAUGUUCUGAAUGUUCAUCUGAUGAUGACAUGAAAAAACCCCAAGCUACAUUUUCUGUAUCACCAACAUCUGAUGGCAAGGUGGAGCCCAAACGGCGGAAGAGAUGACCGUUGCAGGGACAAGACUGUCAAAAGACAUGGAGGCUAUGAAACAUGCUAUAUAUUUGACUCUUGUGUAUGUACCCGUGUUCAUUACAUCCUUAACAUUCGAUAACGUCAAACCUUUAGACUUUGGAGUACCAGGAAAUUGCCACCCCCAGUUUAAAGUCUAUUGGUCUCUUAUGGUCCUUCACUGUACUAUGCUGACCAAAAACGCUGGGUGAUAUUUGAUGUGAUCUUUAUUUUCUCUUUUCUGUAAAGAUUUCUUCUAUUCCAAUUAUUUCGACCGGAGUUGGUAGUUUUGCGGCA